rnacentral:rRNA from 1 species
AGAGUUUGAUCCUGGCUCAGGACGAACGCUGGCGGCGCGCCUAACACAUGCAAGUCGAACGAGCGAGAGAGAGCUUGCUUUCUCGAGCGAGUGGCGAACGGGUGAGUAACGCGUGAGGAACCUGCCUCAAAGAGGGGGACAACAGUUGGAAACGACUGCUAAUACCGCAUAAGCCCACGGCUCGGCAUCGAGCAGAGGGAAAAGGAGCAAUCCGCUUUGAGAUGGCCUCGCGUCCGAUUAGCUAGUUGGUGAGGUAACGGCCCACCAAGGCGACGAUCGGUAGCCGACCUGAGAGGGUGAUCGGCCACAUUGGAACUGAGAGACGGUCCAGACUCCUACGGGAGGCAGCAGUGGGGAAUAUUGGGCAAUGGGCGAAAGCCUGACCCAGCAACGCCGCGUGAGGGAAGAAGGGUUUCGGCUCGUAAACCUCUGUCCUAUGGGACGAAGGAAGUGACGGUACCAUAGGAGGAAGCCCCGGCUAACUACGUGCCAGCAGCCGCGGUAAUACGUAGGGGGCGAGCGUUGUCCGGAAUGACUGGGCGUAAAGGGCGUGUAGGCGGCUUUUUAAGUCUGGAGUGAAAGCCCCUUUUUCAAGGAGGGGAGUGCUUUGGAGACUGGAGAGCUUGAGUGCGGAAGAGGUAAGUGGAAUUCCCAGUGUAGCGGUGAAAUGCGUAGAGAUUGGGAGGAACACCAGUGGCGAAGGCGACUUACUGGGCCGUAACUGACGCUGAGGCGCGAAAGCGUGGGGAGCGAACAGGAUUAGAUACCCUGGUAGUCCACGCUGUAAACGAUGAAUGCUAGGUGUAGCGGGUAUCGACCCCUGCUGUGCCGGAGUAAACACAAUAAGCAUUCCGCCUGGGGAGUACGGCCGCAAGGUUGAAACUCAAAGGAAUUGACGGGGGCCCGCAC